ACCGCGAAACUGCGAAUGGCUCAUUAAAUCAGUUAUCGUUUAUUUGAUAGUACCUUACUACAUGGAUAACCGUGGUAAUUCUAGAGCUAAUACAUGCUAAAAAUCCCGACUUCGGAAGGGAUGUAUUUAUUAGAUUAAAAACCAAUGCCCUUCGGGGCUCUCUGGUGAUUCAUAAUAACUUCUCGAAUCGCACGGCCUUGCGCCGGCGAUGGUUCAUUCAAAUUUCUGCCCUAUCAACUUUCGACGGCUGGGUCUUGGCCAGCCAUGGUGACAACGGGUAACGGAGGGUUAGGGCUCGACCCCGGAGAAGGAGCCUGAGAAACGGCUACUACAUCCAAGGAAGGCAGCAGGCGCGCAAAUUACCCAAUCCCGACUCGGGGAGGUAGUGACAAUAAAUACUGAUACAGGGCUCUUUUGGGUCUUGUAAUUGGAAUGAGUACAAUUUAAAUCCCUUAACGAGGAACAAUUGGAGGGCAAGUCUGGUGCCAGCAGCCGCGGUAAUUCCAGCUCCAAUAGCGUAUAUUAAAGUUGUUGCAGUUAAAAAGCUCGUAGUUGAACCUUGGGCCUGGCUGGCCGGUCCGCCUCACCGCGUGCACUGGUCCGGCCGGGCCUUUCCCUCUGGGGAACCGCAUGCCCUUCACUGGGUGUGUCGGGGAA
rnacentral:rRNA from 1 species